UGGUGUCCGGCCCUCCCCCGAUUGACCAUCGGGCACACCAAGACCUGCUUCGCCGGGUAGUCCUCAAUCUGGGCUUGCAAGCGGAGGAGACUGUAGAGCAGGACGACCCCAUGGUCGAUAUCCUGAGCCCAGAGGGCCCCUCCAGAGUCGCUCUCCCGAUUAUACGGACAGUACAGUCCAACUAUAAGACGGUGUGGCAAACACCGGCCUCCAGUGCGCCAACUGCAAAAGGCGUGGAGAGGAAAUACUUCGCCCCAUCUAGAGGGUUUGACUUCCUCUUUCUACACCCAUCCCCCUGUUCGCUGGUGGUCUCGGCGGUCAACGAAAAAGAGCGGCAUGGCCAGCAAGCUCCUGCCCCCAAGGGCAAGGAAGCUAAGAGAUUGGACUUAUUCGGGAGGAAAGUCUAUUCAUCUGGGGGCCUUCAGCUGAGGAUCGCCAAUCAGCAGGCGAUUCUAAACAGGCACAAUUUUAACUCUUGGGCAUCAGUUGCCAAGUUUAAGGACUCCCUCCCACCUGACGCGCAUCAGGAAUUUACGGCCCUGGUGGAUGAGGGAAUGGCAGUGGCCAAGACCUCAUUACAGGCCGCACUAGACUCAGCCGACGCUGCGGCUAGAACAAUUGCGUCGGGAGUCGUGAUGAGGCGUUCCGCGUGGUUGCAGGCUUCAGGUCUCCCGCCAGAGGUGCAAACCACACUGCAGGACCUCCCGUUUGAAGGUUCGGGCUUGUUCUCCAACCAAACGGACGCCAGGCUGCAUAGCCUUAAGGACUCGCGGGCGACCCUUAAGUCGUUGGGUAUGCACACUCCGGUAACGCAGCGUAAACCCUUUAAGCCCCAGCCACCACAGAGGCAAUACCACCCUCGCCCCCGGCACGAGCCUUACCGCCAUCGAGGCAGGGAUAACAGGCGGAGACGUAACAAUACGCCUAACCAAGGCCAGAGUCACGGCCAGGGCAAGCCGCAGCCGGGAAAUAAACCAGGCUUUUGAAGCUACGCCCAGAGGACAGCGUACCACUUCAUAUACCGGAUCCUCCUCUGGGUUUCAAGGACCAUCUGUCCCAUUUCUACCGGGCCUGGUUGCGCAUAACAUCGGACCGCUGGGUCCUGCGCACAGUGAGGGCGGGCUAUACCCUCCAGUUUUCCUCGCCCCCUCCCUGCCAUCCCCCUUCCCCGUCCCUCUUCAGGGACCCUUCUCACGAGCAACUCCUCAUACAGGAGGUACAGACCCUUCUCGCUGCAGGAGCAGUAGAAGAGGUCCCUCUAGACCUAAGGGGAAAAGGAUUCUAUUCCAGAU
rnacentral:lncRNA from 1 species